UUAGUAUAUAAGUGUACCGAUGAAGCUAGUGGAUAAGGUGUGACAAGCCGCCUAGCCAUACGUCUCUUAAUAACUACUAUGACGAAAUAUACGGAUACGUUUAUUUUUUCUAAUUUCCACUUGGGUAGUACUAAUUGGGAGCAACGAAAAAAAGUUGUGUAGAGAGAAGCAAGGGGACUCAUAUCUGAAACUAAGACACUUGCCGUCAGGGAUUCGCAAUAUACCAUCUUUAGUUAAUUAAGGCUGAUUACCUUAGGAACCAACGAAGAAUAUCAAUUAAGAAUUCGUGUCGUGAAGUUGUGGUGAUGCAACUAUAACUGACGAGUAAGGUUUGAGUAGCCAAAAUCGACAAUCUUAUAUUAACAGAAAUAUGGACAUUACACAUGUUUGGUGAAAAUUGGAUAGGAAAAGGUCUAUGCCCUGAACUUGAAAUGCGGACUAGGUCAUGGAAGUUGCUAGCCAUGAUGUGCUAGUCUGAUUCAGUAGUCUAAUAAGUCCAGAUACAAGAGUAUCCCACGUAAGCCAAUACGCGUCGGUUUACAUAAUUUUU
ncrna:Lactobacillus salivarius DSM 20555 = ATCC 11741 ROOL RNA